AGCGAACGCUGGCGGCAGGCUUAACACAUGCAAGUCGAACGCCCCGCUAGGGGCGUGGCAGACGGGUGAGUAACACGUGUGAACGUACCCUUUGGUUCGGAAGAAUUAGGGGAAAAUCAAGCUACUAACGGCUACGCCCUUAUGUGGAAAGGUUUCCUGACGAAGUGUCGGCCCGCGUCUGACUAGCAAGUUGGUGAGGUAACGGCUCACCAAGGGGACGAUCGGUAGCUGGUCUGAGAGGAUGAUCAGCCACACUGGUACGUAGACACGGCCCAGAAUCCUACAGAAGGGAGCAGUGGGUAAUAUUGGACAGUGGCGUGAACCAUGAUCCAGCCAUGCCUCUUAAGUGAUGAAGGCCGUAGGGUUGUAAAGCUCUUUUAACCGGAACCAUAAUGACUGUACCGGGGGAAUAAGCCCCGGCUAACUUCGUACCAGCCGCCGCAGUAA
rnacentral:rRNA from 1 species